rnacentral:rRNA from 1 species
CUUGGUGUCUUUAGCGUCAUGGAACCACUCCGAUCCCAUCCCGCACUCGGUUGUGAAAUGUGACAGCGGCGACGAUACUCUGGGGCUGCCCCACGGCACAAUAGUCCGAUGCCAAGU